UGCUUGUCCCUUUAUAAAUGGUGGAGGCCCCUUGGCACGGUCACCAGUCCUUUCCCGACGAAGACCGAGUUCAAACUCUUCUAGCUCCAGCUUGCCUGUGUUGUGACUAGUAUUCCAGAAAUGGCUCGCCUCACCGUAGUUUUGUUUGUCUCUGUUCUCGUAGUUCACGCGCUUGCCAAUGGCCGUGGACAGGGUCAGCCACCCACCUUCGUCUGUCAAAAAGACGGAUACUUCGCCGACUUCCACAGGAACUGCGUCGUCUACUAUCACUGCGUUGGAGGUGAAAAGCAAACGUUUGGCUGCCCAACUGGUCAACUCUUCGACGAAGGGAAGGCCAUGUGUGUCCCACAAGAGAACGUUCUGUGUCCUUAUCCUGGAAGCAGCUAGACGGAACCUCUCCUGGGAUGCAAUGGACUAAAGUCUGUCUCAAGAUGAACUCCGUACCUGACCAUGGCAUGAUGACCUUCAUAACACUGAAUAUCAUUCUUGGAUGAAGAUUUGCAUUCAAGCUGUUUAUAGAGAAGUUUCUUAAUGUGUAACUUUGUCUCAAUAAAUAUGAAUUGCCGCAA